rnacentral:rRNA from 1 species
UACGUAGGGUGCAAGCGUUAAUCGGAAUUACUGGGCGUAAAGGGUGCGUAGGCGGCGCGGUAAGUCGGGUGUGAAAUCUCGGAGCUUAACUCCGAAACUGCAUUCGAUACUGCCGUGCUUGAGGACUGGAGAGGAGACUGGAAUUUACGGUGUAGCGGUGAAAUGCGUAGAUAUCGUAAGGAAGACCAGUGGCGAAGGCGGGUCUCUGGGCAGUUCCUGACGCUGAGGCACGAAAGUCAGGGGAGCGAACGGG